GAUGAACGCUGGCGGCGUGCCUAAUACAUGCAAGUCGAGCGAACAGACGAGGAGCUUGCUCCUCUGACGUUAGCGGCGGACGGGUGAGUAACACGUGGAUAACCUACCUAUAAGACUGGGAUAACUUCGGGAAACCGGCGCUAAUACCGGAUAAUAUAUUGAACCGUAUGGUUCAAUAGUAAAAGACGGUUUUGCUGUCACUUCUAGAUGGUUCCGGGCCGCAUUAGCUAGUUGGUAAGGUAACGGCUUACCAGGGGAACGAUGCGUAGCCGAGCUGCGAGGGUGAUCGGCCACACUGGAACUGAGACACGGUCCAGACGCCUACGGGAGGCAGCAGUAGGGAAUCUUCCGCAAUGGGCGAAAGCCUGACGGAGCAACGCCGCGUGAGUGAUGAAGGUCUUCGGAUCGUAAAACUCUGUUAUUAGGGAAGAACAAAUGUGUAAGUAACUAUGCACGUCUUGACGGUACCUAAUCAGAAAGCCACGGCUAACUACGUG
rnacentral:rRNA from 1 species